GCCUGUGUAGUGUGUGUACUUUCUCACCCUGCUUUGUCCGUCUCAGGGGAAGGUGCUGUCAUUGUUCUCCCCCCUACCUCGCCUCUCUCUGACCAGCAGGCCAGGUCUCCAUGGCAACGGGUGGCUGGAAUCUAACUAAAUGUAUCUCUGUUAAUGAGCACUCCACCUGAAUGGCUCCCAGUGUGGGCUGUAUACCACAGAGACUGCUGCCACACACACACAUCACUCCGACUCCUGCUGCUGCCUGACACACACUGCAGUGAGAAGGUACCCAGCUCAGAGUCAGCAGUGCUGUGGAGAGACUAACACACCACUGACGCUGUCGUACAGUAGGGAGGCUCCUCUGUGCUGGUUACGAAGCCACAACACCGCUGCUGAGAGCAGUUGAGGGUCGGAGGGGAGUCUACUAGUGUAGGCCCAUUUUGUAGGUGGUGAUGCAAGAGUUCUGGCUGUGAAAAUAUGUGUUUUAAUGUUUGCUCUGAAUAUAGCAAAUCCAUGCAACUCACUCUAUCUCCCUCCCAGUUUUUUGACUUUUUUAUUUUCUUUGUCUUUUUUUGUAAUGUUUGUUAUUUGUUGUUUAACGCUCUCUCUGUCUCUUUCUCUCCCUCCCUUUGUCUCUCCAUCACCCUCCCUCUCUAGAUCUGCGUGGUGUAGCAGAGCAGGCCAAGACCCUGAAGCCUCAGCGCUCCCUCCCUGGGACGCCCGUCACUAACCCACUCAAACACUUCCCCAUCGACCUGCGUACAUCCAUGGACGGAAAGUACAAGGAGAUUGCAGAGGAGCUGUUCACUCGCAGCCUGACGGAGAGUGAGAUGCGCACCGCUCCUUAUGAGUUCCCUGAGGACAGCCCCAUCGAGCAGCUGGAAGAGAGACGCCAACGCCUGGAGAGGCAGAUCAGCCAGGACAUCAAGCUUGAGCCAGAGAUCCUGCUCCGCGCAAAACAGGAGUUCAUGAAAAUCGACAGUGAUUGUUACCAACUCAUACACUCUCAGGCACGUUGCAAUGGCCUCUUGGCAGUGUGUGGAUGUCUAAUCACUGUAGACUAUGUCUGCCUUGCCCAGGUGCCCUUCACAGACCUGGUGGAUGCAGCUAAGUGUGUGGUGAAGGCCCUGUUCAUCAGGGAGAAGUACAUCGCUCUGUCCAUGCAGAACUUCUGUAAGACCACUGCCCGUGAGCUGGGGGAGCUGGGAGAGAAACCCCUGGACCUACGCAUCUAUGAGGAGAUCCCUGAGACCCCCGUUGAUGCAGAUGCUCCAGUCCACCCCCCUGUCUCAGAGACUCACCCCUAUGAAAACCAGGUCACCAAGAACAUGCCUGCAGACACAGGGUACAGCUGUAAGAUGGUGGAUGGGGUCAUGCAUGUCUACACCAAGAAGAGCCCCAUGGAGAAGAGUACAGAGUUGGACCUGCCCUACCCAGACCUGAAGGAGUACAUCGCUGACAUGAAUGUCAUGAUGGCUCUCAUCAUCAACGGACCAGUGAAAUCGUUCUGCUACCGCCGGCUGCAGUACCUCAGCUCUAAGUUCCAGAUGCACAUUCUGCUGAACGAGAUGAAGGAGUUGGCAGCCCAGAAGCAGGUUCCUCACCGCGACUUUUACAACAUUCGCAAGGUGGACACCCACAUCCACGCUUCGUCCUGUAUGAACCAGAAGCACCUUCUGCGCUUUAUCAAGCGGGCCAUGAAGAAGUACCCUGGGGAGAUAGUCCACAUGGAGCACGGGCGGGGACAGACCCUCAUGGAGGUGUUUGAGAACAUGAACCUGACCGCCUUCGACCUGAGUGUGGACACACUGGACAUGCACGCGGACCGCAACACGUUCCAUCGCUUCGACAAGUUCAACGCCAAAUACAACCCCAUCGGAGAAUCCAUCCUGAGAGAGAUCUUCAUCAAGACAGACAACCACAUCGAGGGCAAAUACUUUGGCCACAUGAUCAAGGAGGUGAUGGCUGACCUAGAGGAGAGUAAGUACCAGAACGUGGAGCUGCGUCUGUCCAUCUACGGCCGCUCCCGGGACGAGUGGGACAAGCUGGCCCGUGGGCCCGUUACGCACAUCCACUUUAGUCAUGCGUUACCCUCCUCUGACUGCAGUGAUGUGUACCGAACCAAGAAGCAGCUGGCUUCCAGGAGAUGUGGGAACAUCUUUAUGCCUCUGUUUGAGGUCACCAUCAACCCCCGCAGCCACCCUGAGUGCACCUUUCCUGUGGUGGGCUUUGACAGCGUGGAUGACGAGUCCAAGCCGGAGCACCACAUCUUCAACAUGGACAGCCCCCUGCCAGCCGACUGGACAGAGGAGGACAACCCUCCCUACUCCUACUACCUCUACUACACCUACGCCAACAUGACCGUGCUCAACCAUCUGCGCAGGAGGCGUGGUUUCCACACGUUGGUGCUGCGCCCUCAUUGCGGGGAGGCGGGGCCUGUCCACCACCUGGUGUCUGGUUUCAUUCUGUCAGAGAACAUCUCCCAUGGGCUGCUGCUCAGGAAGGCUCCAGUGCUGCAGUACCUCUACUACCUGGCUCAGAUUGGCAUCGCCAUGUCCCCCCUGAGCAACAACAGCCUGUUCCUCAGCUACCACCGCAACCCCCUGCCUGAGUAUCUGGCCAGAGGCCUCAUGGUCUCUCUGUCCACUGACGACCCCCUACAGUUCCACUUCACCAAGGAGCCCCUGAUGGAGGAGUACAGCAUCGCCACACAGGUGUGGAAGCUGAGCUCCUGUGACAUGUGUGAGCUGGCCAGGAACAGUGUCCUCAUGAGCGGCUUCUCCCACAAGGCAAAGAGCUACUGGCUGGGGCCCAAAUACAGCAAGGAGGGCCCUGAGAGCAACGACAUCCGUCGCACCAAUGUCCCGGACAUCCGCGUGGCAUACCGCAGUGAGACCCUGCUGGAGGAGCUCAACCUCAUCACCCAUGCUGUGCACACCAAGGAGCUGGACAACAUCGACGAGGAAGACACCCUCUCCAUGGCCCCCGUUGGGGCAGAAGGACACUAAAUCAACAACCCCACCCCGACUUCUAACCCCCGGCCCCUCCCUGCAUGACACUGAGGGGCUGCAGUAUGAGUGGACUCCAGCUUGUUGUUUAACCUCUACCUCUUAUCCCCUUAUCCCCCUCCCACUAGGGAAUUGGACUGUGCACUCGUCUCUCAGCUCUCUUGUACUAAAGCCAAGGAUACAAUGCUCCCUGAGUGGCCCCAUCUCUCUGUCAGUGAUGGGGGUGGUCAGUAUGGACUCAUGUUCCAGUCCCCCCUUCUCCCUCAACCCAGGUUCCCUCUUCAACUCUCUCUGG
rnacentral:lncRNA from 1 species